rnacentral:rRNA from 1 species
GACGUUGAACCGCAAAAGAAGCAGAGGGGGCUUAGUGGUGGGGUGACUGCGUACCUUUUGUAUAAUGGGUCAGCGACUUAUAUUCUGUAGCAAGGUUAACCGCAUAGGGGAGCCGGAGGGAAACCGAGUCUUAAUUGGGCGUUAAGUUGCAGGGUAUAGACCCGAAACCCGGUGAUCUAGCCAUGGGCAGGUUGAAGGUUGGGUAACACUAACUGGAGGACCGAACCGACUAAUGUUGAAAAAUUAGCGGAUGACCUGUGGCUGGGGGUGAAAGGCCAAUCAAACCGGGAGAUAGCUGGUUCUCCCCGAAAGCUAUUUAGGUAGCGCCUCGUGAAUUCAUCUCCGGGGGUAGAGCACUGUUUCGGCCAGGGGGCCAUCCCGGCUUACCAAUCCGAUGCAAACUGCGAAUACCGGAGAAUGUUAUCACGGGAGACACACGGCGGGUGCUAACGUCCGUCGUGAAGAGGGAAACAACCCAGACCGCCAGCUAAGGUCCCAAAGUCAUGGUUAAGUGGGAAACGAUGUGGGAAGGCCCAGACAGCCAGGAUGUUGGCUUAGAAGCAGCCAUCAUUUAAAGAAAGCGUAAUAGCUCACUGGUCGAGUCGGCCUGCGCGGAAGAUGUAACGGGGCUAAACCAU